rnacentral:lncRNA from 1 species
CCUGGGGAGAAAUAAAAGCAUAUGCAUGACGACGUCGUCGUUGUAGAAUACCAGGACCGUCGACAGAGAGAGAGAGGGAGGCGGGAAAUAAAACGGCGCGAGGGCCAAAAAAAACAAUUCAACACGCGCGCUUCUCGAUCUGCUAAAUGCACGCCUCUAAGCGGAUUCCGAGCAGCGGUCACACCUCGCCGUCGCCGCCGC